UUCCCUGUUCCUGGUUCUGGAGAGCUCAGCUCCAGCUCUAAUUAAACACACCUGAACCACUAAUCGAGGUCUUUGUGUUGGGAACUAAACAGAACUGUGAAUAACCUGCAUUAUUUCAUCAACACUAUAAACCUGCUUCAGGUGGAUCUUAAGGUCUCCAUGAGGUCUUGAGUCACAUUACACUCUUUCUUUGUACAGCACACAAUGAUGGCACAGCUCUCUCAUUGUGUGAUGGAAUGAAUUAUUAACAGAUCGUCUCUGAGCAGAAACGGGUCAGAAUCUCUUUAAUAUGAGCCCAGAUUAAUUGCCAUGGUGCCUGGACAAGGUGUGAAGUUCAGAGGAACCACUCAGUCCAGGCAGGUGAGAAGAUGCAGAUGUUCUUAUUUUGUUUGUAUUCUUCACUGCGGUGUUAUUCAG
rnacentral:lncRNA from 1 species